rnacentral:rRNA from 1 species
CUUAACCCCAAUCAUCGACCCUACCUUAGACAGCUCCCUCUUCUUGCGAAGUUAAGCCACUGCUUUCGGGUAUUGCUAACUUUCGUGGUUUGACGGGCGGUGUGUACAAACCCCGAGAACGUAUUCACCGCGACAUGCUGAUUCGCGAUUACUAGCGAUUCCAGCUUCAUGAAGUCGAGUUGCAGACUUCAAUCCGGGCUAAGACUGUCUUUUUGAGAUUGGCUAAAAACUCGCGUUUCAGCUACUCUUUGUAACAGCCAUUGUAUCACGUUUGUAGCCCAGAUCAUAAGGGGCAUGAUGAUUUGACGUUAUCCCCACCUUCCUCCAAUGUUUAAUUGGCAGUCUCGCUAAAGUCCCCACCAUUACGUGCUGGUAACUAACGACAGGGGUUGCGUUCGUUUUAGGACUUAACCUAACAUCUCACGACACGAACUGACGACAACCAUGCACCACCUGUAUCCCUGAUAACCUCCACUAUAUUUCUAUAGCUUCGCAGAGUAUGUCAAGACCUGGUAAGGUUUUUCGUGUAUCUUCGAAUUAAACAACAUGAUCCACCGCUUGUGCGGAGUCCCGUCAAUUCCUUUAAGUUUCAUACUUGCGUACGUACUACUCAGGCGGAGUACUUAAUGUGUUAACUUCAGUACCGAGUUGCCCCGACACUUAGUACUCAUCGUUUACAGCGUGGACUACCAGGGUAUCUAAUCCUGUUUGCUCCCCACGCUUUCGUGCCUCAGCGUCAGUAAAGACCCAGCGAGCCGCCUACGCUUCUGGUGUUCCUCCAUAUAUUUACACAUUUUACCGCUACACAUGGAAUUCCGCUUGCCUCUAUCUCACUCUAGUCAAGACAGUUUCUAUAACAAGACAGCGUUAAGCACUGAAAUUAAAUUAUAGACUUAUCUAACCGGCCUACGCACCCUUUACGCCCAAUAAUUCCGGAUAACGCUCGCCCCCUAUGUCUUACCGCGGCUGCUGGCACAUAGUUAGCCGGGGCUUAUUCAUUGAAUAACGUCAAGAUAGUUUUUCCACUAUUUUUUCUUCUUCAUUAAAAGAACUUUACAUACCGAAAUACUUCAUCGUUCACGCGGCGUCGCUCGGUCAGAGUUUCCUCCAUUGCCGAAAAUUCCCUACUGCUGCCUCCCGUAGGAGUUUGGGCCGUGUCUCAGUCCCAAUGUGGCUGUUCAACCUCUCAGUCCAGCUACACAUCAUAAUCUUGGUAAGCCUUUACCUCACCAACUAACUAAUGUGGCGCAAGCCCCUCUUUAAGCAUACCCUCCGAAGAAGGUCUUUUAAAAACAAAAAGAUGCCUUUUUAUUUCCUAUCCAGUCUUAGCAACCGUUUCCGAUUGUUAUCCUCGUCUUAAAGGUAGGUUACUUACGUGUUGCUCACCCGUUCGCCACUAAGACCUUUUGAGGGGUCUCCGUUCGACUUGCAUG